UGUCUUCUGUGGCUUCAGCGUUGCCUAGUGCAGGCUGCCAUUCAACAAACGCAUUGUCAGCAGUCAACCAAAAGAAACCCAUUGGCCACCAUGCCCUGAGGACUAACCCUGACGCAGAUGCCCUUCCAGAUGCCCUCAAUAGACUGUUUCCAUCGCCCCAGCCUGGGAGGAGAAGCACUGCUGCCUAUGCACUCCAUUUACAGAGUUAUAGAGUGGAAAAACUCCCAAUCUCUUUUUCUUCUCUCUUGUAUUUUCAGAAAAACAUUGACUUCCAAAAACAAAAGACGCAUGUUGGCAAGAAUGCAGAGAGAAGGGAACGCUUAUACACUGUUGGUGAACUGUCACCCCUACAACUCAGCUUGCAACCAGCCCUGGCCACCACCAGUUUCCCCACACUGAGCUGAAUAUUGGACAUGCCCAUCUUAGACAUUCCAGCCCAUUCUGAAAUUUCACAUCGAUUCACCCAACAAAGUCUGAAGUUCCAGGGCAAUUUAUCUGGAAAAGCUCACCUGGAAUCAUGUGUCAUUUCAACCAACAACUGUUGAAGAGGACGUGGCAUUAAAACCAAGGUUAUCAAUUA
rnacentral:lncRNA from 1 species